GAGUUUGAUCUUGGCUCAGAUUGAACGCUGGCGGCAUGCCUUACACAUGCAAGUCGAACGGCAGCACGGGAGCUUGCUCCUGGUGGCGAGUGGCGAACGGGUGAGUAAUGCAUCGGAACGUAUCCUGGAGUGGGGGAUAACGUAGCGAAAGUUACGCUAAUACCGCAUAUUCUGUGAGCAGGAAAGCGGGGGACCUUCGGGCCUCGCGCUCUUGGAGCGGCCGAUGUCGGAUUAGCUAGUUGGUGAGGUAAAGGCUCACCAAGGCGACGAUCCGUAGCAGGUCUGAGAGGAUGAUCUGCCACACUGGAACUGAGACACGGUCCAGACUCCUACGGGAGGCAGCAGUGGGGAAUUUUGGACAAUGGGGGCAACCCUGAUCCAGCCACGCCGCGUGAGUGAAGAAGGCCU
rnacentral:rRNA from 1 species